rnacentral:tRNA from 1 species
GCGCGCUUAGCUCAGUGGUAGAGCAACGCUUUUACACAGCGAAGGUCGGGGGUUCGAAUCCCUCAGCGCGCA